GGAGUCGGCCGGGCAACCGCGUCAUCCCUCCGGGAUGCCGAGGAAAGUCCGGGCUCCACAGGGCACGGUGCCAGGUAACGCCUGGGCGGCGCGAGCCGACGGAAAGUGCAACAGA
rnacentral:RNase_P_RNA from 1 species